GCCACGCCCACUGUGUCUGUCGUUGGCUCGUCCCGUCACAGUGGUGGAGAAUGCGGGCAAGGCGGAGCCUAGACAGCGCAGUUGGGAAACACCUGAUGACGUCACUCCCUCUCGUUUGCAAAAGUUCGCGUACCCGGACUGGAACGGAGGAGACGGCCUCCCAACCACACAAAGGGGUAAGUGACUUCUCUUUUACGGUCAUUUUACCCUGUGGUUGGUUGAGGCUGUCGACUAAAUCCCGUUUUCUCUGUCCCUGUUCCGGCGCGCUGCGAGAGGGAGGACUGCCCGGAGAGGAAUCCCCGCCCGCCACUCCGACCGUUUGGAGCCUGGUUGAGGAAGGUAGCACUCCCGUGUGGGCUGCGCCCUGAGGACGGGGAUGUCGCUUGGGGGGGGAAUACCUGAAGGAAAUGGAGCCUCAUCACCGCCGCUGUUUAAAAGCCCAACGCGCCUCUCCUCGGGAGACCGGUCUCUUCCCCGUGCAUGCACACUGGUGUCCUCGUGGGUCCAGGAAGGGUGCGUUGAGGGACUCCCGCGCCACCAGAGACGUGAGCUGCCGGACCCGCGGUCCGGUCGAGAACCGCACCCGUCUAACCGCUAUACUACAUCUAAAAAGUGAUUUCAUACCUUUGAAAUGAAAAGAUUACCUGAAGGUGUUACUUCGUCUUAUUAAUUUGUGUGGAAAUACAUUUUGUAGAAGGGACAUUUGUAAACAGCCUGAAGAUAUUAUUAGAAGCCCAACAGAAUGAGCAUUGGUCUGCGCUGUAAUUGAAAGAUAGUGACCGCGCAGCUGCAGUACAGGAAUCUCCGUUCAGCACGCAAUGAUACCAAUUCACAUAAAGGGUGGAGAUUAUUCUAGGUAGACAGAAAUGUAAUGAUUAAUUUCGUAUAUGGGUUUCUUGCGAUCACAAUAAUGGGUAAGAAAAUGUGGCAUUGAUGUGCACAAAGCAACAGUGCUCCUGGUGGUACCCACAGUGUGAACUUUGAAAUGAUGUGUUCCUGUACCUCAGUUAGCUGCCAGGAUACAAAUGAGUCACCCAGCAUCCCACGCCUGCAUGCACAUCCACAGUAUAAUAAAGCCAUUUCACCCAGCAUGAAAUAAAAGACCAUUUUCAAGUUCAGUGAUUGGGUUCAUAAACUCUCUCACUGCCUAAAACACACACACACACACACACACACACACACACACACACACACACACACGAGGCUACUUACCCUUGACGCCUGCAGUGAUGCUGAGUGGCUAGAAUAAUAAAUAUUUG
rnacentral:lncRNA from 1 species